rnacentral:rRNA from 1 species
UACGUAGGGUGCGAGCGUUAAUCGGAAUUACUGGGCGUAAAGCGUGCGCAGGCGGUUUUGUAAGUCAGAUGUGAAAUCCCCGGGCUCAACCUGGGAACUGCGUUUGAAACUACAAGGCUAGAGUGUAGCAGAGGGGGGUAGAAUUCCACGUGUAGCAGUGAAAUGCGUAGAGAUGUGGAGGAAUACCAAUGGCGAAGGCAUCCCCUGGACCUGUACUGACGCUCAUGCACGAAAGCGUGGGGAGCAAACAGG